CCCAGACUCCUACGGGAGGCAGCAGUGGGGGAUAUUGCACAAUGGGGGGAACCCUGAUGCAGCGACGCCGCGUGGGUGAAGGAGCGUUUCGGCGCGUAAAGCCCUAUCGGCAGGGAAGAAGGAGGACGGUACCUGACCAAGAAGCCCCGGCUAACUACGUGCCAGCAGCCGCGGUAAUACGUAGGGGGCAAGCGUUAUCCGGGUUUACUGGGUGUAAAGGGGGCGCAGACGGCAGCGCAAGCCAGGAGUGAAAGCCCGGGGCCCAACCCCGGGACUGCUCUUGGAACUGCGCGGCUGGAGUGCAGGAGGGGCAGGCGGAAUUCCUGGUGUAGCGGUGAAAUGCGUAGAUAUCAGGAGGAACACCGGUGGCGAAGGCGGCCUGCUGGACUGCGACUGACGUUGAGGCCCGAAAGCGUGGGGAGCAAACAGGAUUAGAUACCCUCGUAC
rnacentral:rRNA from 1 species